CCGGCCCAGGGAAGGCCCCCACCCAGUCUUUUUUUUUUUUUAUUCCAAGGACCAGGGGCAAGCCGGCAAGGGCAGCAGGGGCCAGGGCUAUCAGGAUGACAGGAUUCAGGCUAUGAGGCUAUCUGGCUUAGCUAUGGGCUAUGGAGGGAGUCGGCAGCGGGUUUGGGCGGCGGCGACGCGACGGGCGACGGGCGACGGACGACGGGCGACAAGCAACGGGCAAGUGGCAAGUGGCAACGCAACGGCUUUUUCCUCCCUGGCUCCUCCCUUCUCUCUGACAGUCCGACUCUCCCCCAUUGGGCCCCUUCUCUGCCUUUUUAAUGCCGGAACCUUCUCCGGUUCUCGGCACUCGGCAUUCGGCACUCGGCAAAACCCUCUCCAGCUCUCCUCGCCGACGUCGCCGUACUGCGCUCCGAGCUCCGUCCUCCGACUCCGACUCCGAGCUCCGGUCCACUGUGCGUCCGUGCAGAGUCCCGUGAGGCCGUGACUCCCGUCCUCUCCUCGGCGUCCAGCGUCCUCACCGACUCCGAGACUCCGAGUCGCCAUCCUCGGCUCCUCCGAGUCUCUGACUGUCCGACAUCCGACUCCACGCCUCCGCGGCGACCGAGGGCCGAGGCGGUGAGGCCUCCCAUCCUCUUCUUGCCGACGUCGCCGACUCGCCGUCCUCGGCCUCCCGUGAGGCUGUGACCGGCGCCGGCGGUGACCCCGUCCUCUCCUCAUCUCCUCUGCCGCUCCGGCCGGCGGCCUCCUCGGGGUUCCCGGUUCCCGAGUCCCGACGGACCCGACCUCCUCGGCUCCUCCCAAGUCCCAGGGGCCAGCCGGCCAGGCCGCCAGGGCCCAGGCUCCCACGGUCCCACUCCCACCGGGCCACCUCCCGAGACCCGAGUGGGCCGAGUCCCGACCUCCUCCCCUCACUCCCUCAGGCCUCAGUCCCCUGUAACUAUUGGUUGUGACUUCACUACUUCAGCGGUUCGGCACUAUUCGGCCUCUUCUCGCCGUCGAGUUCGGAACUAUUCCACCUCUUCUCGACACAAUUAAGUUCGGCACUACUUGUCGGGAUCCAAGUUUGUUUUUCUUGACACAAUUAAGUUUUAUCAUUUUUAACUUUUUAAA